rnacentral:piRNA from 1 species
UAGCUAGUAAAUUGCUGCUGGAGA